CCUACGGGAGGCUGCAGUGGGGAAUAUUGGACAAUGGGGGCAACCCUGAUCCAGCCAUGCCGCGUGUGUGAAGAAGGCCCUCGGGUUGUAAAGCACUUUCAGUGAGGAAGAACGCCUGGUGGUUAAUACCCAUCAGGAAAGACAUCACUCACAGAAGAAGCACCGGCUAACUCCGUGCCAGCAGCCGCGGUAAUACGGAGGGUGCGAGCGUUAAUCGGAAUUACUGGGCGUAAAGCGCGCGUAGGUGGCUUGAUAAGCCGGUUGUGAAAGCCCCGGGCUCAACCUGGGAACGGCAUCCGGAACUGUCAAGCUAGAGUGCCGGAGAGGAAGGUAGAAUUCCCGGUGUAGCGGUGAAAUGCGUAGAGAUCGGGAGGAAUACCAGUGGCGAAGGCGGCCUUCUGGACUGACACUGACACUGAGGUGCGAAAGCGUGGGUAGCAAACAGGAUUAGAUACCCUUGUAGUC
rnacentral:rRNA from 1 species